AUUGAACGCUGGCGGCAGGCCUAACACAUGCAAGUCGAGCGAGUGGCGGACGGGUGAGUAAUGUAUGGGGAACUGCCUGAUGGAGGGGGAUAACUACUGGAAACGGUAGCUAAUACCGCAUACCAUCAGAUGUACCCAGAUGGGAUUAGCUAGUGGGUGGGGUAACGGCUCACCAAGGCGACGAUCCCUAGCUGGUCUGAGAGGAUGACCAGCCACACUGGAACUGAGACACGGUCCAGACUCCUACGGGAGGCAGCAGUGGGGAAUAUUGCACAAUGGGCGCAAGCCUGAUGCAGCCAUGCCGCGUGUAUGAAGAAGGCCUUCGGGUUGUAAAGUACUUUCAGCGGGGAGGCGUUACCCGCAGAAGAAGCACCGGCUAACUCCGUGCCAGCAGCCGCGGUAAUAC
rnacentral:rRNA from 1 species